GUCGAGCGAACGGACGAGAAGCUUGCUUCUCUGAUGUUAGCGGCGGACGGGUGAGUAACACGUGGAUAACCUACCUAUAAGACUGGGAUAACUUCGGGAAACCGGAGCUAAUACCGGAUAAUAUUUUGAACCGCAUGGUUCAAAAGUGAAAGACGGUCUUGCUGUCACUUAUAGAUGGAUCCGCGCUGCAUUAGCUAGUUGGUAAGGUAACGGCUUACCAAGGCAACGAUGCAUAGCCGACCUGAGAGGGUGAUCGGCCACACUGGAACUGAGACACGGUCCAGACUCCUACGGGAGGCAGCAGUAGGGAAUCUUCCGCAAUGGGCGAAAGCCUGACGGAGCAACGCCGCGUGAGUGAUGAAGGUCUUCGGAUCGUAAAACUCUGUUAUUAGGGAAGAACAUAUGUGUAAGUAACUGUGCACAUCUUGACGGUACCUAAUCAGAAAGCCACGGCUAACUACGUGCCAGCAGCCGCGGUAAUACGUAGGUGGCAAGCGUUAUCCGGAAUUAUUGGGCGUAAAGCGCGCGUAGGCGGUUUUUUAAGUCUGAUGUGAAAGCCCACGGCUCAACCGUGGAGGGUCAUUGGAAACUGGAAAACUUGAGUGCAGAAAAGGAAAGUGGAAUUCCAUGUGUAGCGGUGAAAUGCGCAGAGAUAUGGGAGGAACACCAGUGGCGAAGGCGACUUUCUGGUCUGUAACUGACGCUGAUGUGCGAAAGCGUGGGGAUCAAAACAGGAUUAGAUACCCUGGUAGUCCACGCCGUAAACGAUGAGUGCUAAGUGUUAGGGGGGUUUCCGCCCCUUAGUGCUGCAGCUAACGCAUUAAGCACUCCGCUGGCGGAGUACGACGACACGGUGGAUACUCAAAGAAUGGAC
rnacentral:rRNA from 1 species